AUUGAACGCUGGCGGCAGGCCUAACACAUGCAAGUCGAGCGAGCGGCGGACGGGUGAGUAAUGUCUGGGUACUUCCCGAUAGGGGUGGGUUACCACCGGAAAAGCUGGAUUAUACCGCAUACUGCCGGAUAUCCCAUAGGGGAUUAGCUAGUAUGUAAGGUAAUGGCUUACCAAGGCGACGAUCCCUAGCUGGGCUGAGAGGAUGAUCAGCCACACUGGGACUGAGACACGGCCCAGACUCCUACGGAGGCAGCAGUGGGGAAUAUUGCACAAUGGGCGCAAGCCUGAUGCAGCCAUGCCGCGUGUAUGAAGAAGGCCCUAGGGUUGUAAAGUACUUUCAGUCGGGAGGCGUUACCGACAGAGGAAGCACCGGCUAACUCCGUGCCAGCAGCCGCGGUAAUUC
rnacentral:rRNA from 1 species